GUUCGAGCGUCAUUACACCCCUCAAGUCAAACUUUUUGGUUAACUUGGUGUUGGGCCUUGCCGGAAGGCAUGCCUGAAAUCAGCAAUGGUACGUUAAACCACGGGCGCACAAAUGUCGUUACGUAGGGGCACGGCACCAGUCUAAUGAUUAAUUUCUCAAUGUUGACCUCGGAUCAGGUAGGAAUACCCGCUGAACUUAA
rnacentral:misc_RNA from 1 species